AGUGAACGCUGGCGGUAGGCCUAACACGUGCAAGUCGAACGGCAGCACAGUAAGAGCUUGCUCUUACGGGUGGCGAGUGGCGGACGGGUGAGGAAUACAUCGGAAUCUACUUUUUCGUGGGGGAUAACGUAGGGAAACUUACGCUAAUACCGCAUACGACCUACGGGUGAAAGCAGGGGAUCUUCGGACCUUGCGCGAUUGAAUGAGCCGAUGUCGGAUUAGCUAGUUGGCGGGGUAAGGGCCCACCAAGGCGACGAUCCGUAGCUGGUCUGAGAGGAUGAUCAGCCACACUGGAACUGAGACACGGUCCAGACUCCUACGGGAGGCAGCAGUGGGGAAUAUUGGACAAUGGGCGCAAGCCUGAUCCAGCCAUACCGCGUGGGUGAAGAAGGCCUUCGGGUUGUAAAGCCCUUUUGUUGGGAAAGAAGAGCAGCAGGUUAAUACCCCGCUGUUCUGACGGUACCCAAAGAAUAAGCACCGGCUAACUUCGUG
rnacentral:rRNA from 1 species